rnacentral:lncRNA from 1 species
CCUUCCCUGCCCUGGCUUUCCGCUUGCCAUUCGAACUUCUCACCCCACAACUCCCGUACACGGUGAAAAACACACACUGCGCUUUAUUGCCAUAUUCCUAGAAGGCAUAUAAUUUUCGACAGAACAACCCAUCAUUUCAUGCAGGAACUGCAACUUUUUUUUUUUUUUUUUUCAACAAACGAGGAACUGCAACUUUUUUCACUGCAGAAAAAAGUUCCGGAUUUUUUUCUUUUGAAUUUUGAUGCCAUCAUCAAUGUCUCAGAGCCGGGAGAAAUCCGGUCAGGAAACCUUGAACCCGUUCAAACCGUUCAUCGUUUCCAAUCAGCGCAACGAUUUCUUAACCACUUCCGUAAAAGGUGGCAUUUUGGCUUUCCUCUUCGUCUCCGCUGCGUUGCUUGUUUACUCGGUCUUCACAAGUCAACCUCCCUGGUUUAUCUGCCCCGAAUGCCCGAACCCGACUGACAACAUCUCCAGAACAGCCUGUAACACCGAGGAAGGCCCUAUUUCCAGCCCGACCAACAUAACCCACAUCGUGUUCGGCAUCGGCGGGUCGACCUCGACGUGGAACGAUCGGAGCCACUAUUCAGCGCUGUGGUGGCAGGAUAGCGUCACACGCGGGUUCGUUUGGUUAGAUAAGGAACCCGACGCGGACACACAGUGGCCCGAGAACUCCCCUCCGUAUCGGGUCUCCUCCGACUGGACCCGGUUCAGGUACACAAGCUCGCAAUCAGCAGUCAGGCUCUCCAGGAUCGUGGUGGAUUCUUUCCGGGUCGGGUUACCGGAUGUGAGGUGGUUCGUGAUGGGAGACGACGAUACGGUGUUUUUCCCGGACAACUUAGUUACGGUGUUAGCCAAGUACGAUCACCGUCAGAUGUAUUAUGUUGGUGGGAAUUCGGAGAGCGUAGAGCAAGACACCACUCAUUCCUAUGAUAUGGCUUUUGGUGGCGGAGGAAUUGCAAUAAGUUAUCCGUUAGCGGCGGAGUUGGUUAGAGUAAUGGACGGUUGUCUUGAUAGGUACUACAAUUUCUACGGCUCUGAUGAGCGGGUGUGGGCAUGUAUUAAAGAGCUAGGUGUCUCCCUCACUAGAGAGCGUGGGUUCCACCAGGUACGCUGUGAAGUAUUUUGAUGAUGCAUCCAUUAUAGUGCUAACUUUAGAGGAAUCAAUGCGCAGCACCAAUAUCUAUCGUAUGGUAACAAGUUCUUGUGUUGUUUGAAUUAGCGUUGCGUCGAUGUCGGAUUUUUUCUUGUUUUUGUGGCGUCUGAAAUUUUGUGCACUUCAAUUUAAGUGGAAAAAAAAAAAAAAAAAAAACCAGCUGAAGCAUUUUAAAAAAAAAAAAAAAAAAUAGCAGCUUAGUCCUAGGUCAAUGACGUCGUAUUCAUUCACGACUUUAAGAAAUGCUGACCGAUUUGGAAGUCUUUUCUUCAGGUCAAUGUAGUUUAGGUGAACUGCUUUGUGGGUGAACAUCUUCCCAUAAGUUUGCAUUUGUACAUUUGUCCUUCUUCCAUAGUUGGAUGGUGAACCGAUGUUUUAAAAGUAGUGCCUGUAAUCCCCAUUUGGCAAAUAAGUUUGUUUUGGGUGUUUGGGUGAAAUUUUGCUGUAAAAGUUGUAGGAAAAAUUUUUGAAACGUGUAAAUUUUUGGAUAUUUUGAAAUGUAUAGUUUAAAAAUUUUGAGAAGUUUUUUGAGUUUACUAUGACUAAAUGUUAUUAAAAAACUUGUAGCAGACAAACAUAAACAAAAAUUUAUUUACCAAACAGGCCCUAGUUUGCUAUUGUAGAAAAAUUUACUGUAGAAAAAUUAACCUUAUUUUAUACUGUGUAGGGUCUGGUCUUGGUGCAACGUGGCCCGGUGAUUAAUUGCAUGUAGGUGUGUCCUCAUGUGCUGUCGAUUUUUCAAAUGUUGGUGGAUUGUAGUAAUUAUGGAGUAAAACUUCUCUAGAUAAAAUUUUGAUUGUAGCUUUUUCUUUUUCUACUAUGAAAUAUCUAAAAUCUAAAUAUGCAAUAAAAUUACAAUAGCAAAAAAACUCAUAAUCCAAACAGUACAAUAUAAAAUCAAGUGAAAUAGUCAAAUGAGAAUAGCCCCUCGGUAGAGUUGAAUGCAGAAAAAUGCUUCAGUUGGGUUGGAUAAAAGUUCAAAAGAAUAUGGAUAUGGGUCUCUCGAUACAUAUUUUUUUUGUAUAAUUAUACACUUAAAAUUUAACACAACAUUUUAUCUGACAAAAUUAAGACGGUACGUUUCAUAAAAGUUUUUUUUUUUUUUUUUCGGUUCAGUACAUAUGUUAUAGAAUAUAGACACGUGUUCUUGCAUCCCCAGUAGUUUUUCAGCACACUAGCUUGGGCGGCUACUACUAAAAUAAAGGACUUGUGAGCAGCCCAGUACUUAAAAGGAAGAACAUAUAGUUAAUAAAGCUACCUAAUAGCACUUUGGUCAAAUUGAAGGAUUAUCUCUAGUAUUACAAUCCUGCUAGAGUCUGAGGUUUUCAUUGAAGAAAGAAAUCGGUUUAUCUUGAUUAUUAUUUGUUGACUAGGCACAUUUUCUUUUAAAUAGAUUAUGAUGUGUGUUCUUACUUAGCGGAAUUCACCACCAUUUAAUUUGACCGUACCUUGUGAUUUGUGAUUACCAUUAAGAUGUAGAUAUUGGGCCACGUAUGCGCUUGUCCUUCAAGCCUUUUUCUCGUCUUCAAGAUUCUACUUGGAAAACGAUGUAAGCAUAGGCCACUUCAUGUGAUUGCCAAGGUCUUUUAUGUUCUUGUUGGUUGUUGCCAUGGUAUCCACUUCCCACUAUGCUUAGGAAAAGAUCUAGAUUCGUCUUCCUCCUACUCCCUGAACAAUCUUUUAAUUCUAGAAUAUGCAAUUAAAGAUUACAAUUCAUGUCAUUAAGAUUUUCGUUCCCCCCCCCCCUCCUUUUUCAAAGAUGUAUGACAAAGGAGUCGAUAUAACGAGGUAUAUAUCCUUGGUUAUGUUUUGCUUAUUUCAGAAGCUCAAUAAGAGAUGUAAUAGAAAUGUGAAAUAGGAAGGGAACAUGAUGAUCUGUAUCUAAAAAUGGCUCUUUGCCCUUAAUUCCCACAAGCCAAUCCGUCCAUGCCUUCCCUUUUCUUCUCUUUGGUGGGGUUUUGGGGGGGAAGAAAAGAAAAAUUAUUGCCAAGGACAGCAACAAACUGUAGAGAAGGCCAUUAUAUCGUUUUUCAAUGUCUCCACCCAAUUGAUGGUUCUUGGUCUACCAUUAUGAAGUCAGGCGUACCUUUUAAGUUUUAACUACGCAAAGAAACAAAGAAAGAAAAUUUAUGUUCAAGUGUAACACUUCAGCCCCAGGCAACGAAAGUGCUGGACAAAAUGUAAUAUGCUAGAACAUGUGACAAUUAGUCCAGUCAUCUUAUAUAUUAGACUACGACUUUUCAAAUUGAAUGCAGUCAACUCGCACUUGCCAUUUCUAUUUGAAGUUAUGGUUCGAGAUGCCAACCUGUAGAUGAUUUUUUUGGUCCUUAAUUCUUGUUUGGUAUUAUUACUCUUAACAUCAUUUUGCCAAAAGAAAAAGAAAAAAAAAUCAAUCAUGUUACUUUCAUGUGAAAAAAAGUACAAUCAAACUUCUGCUUAUGCUUAUGGCAUUAAAACUUUCAGAUUGAUAUUCGAGGUGACCUAUUUGGUCUUCUGGCAGCACAUCCUAUGGUACCCCUUGUGUCGCUCCACCACCUUGACCAUGUGAAACCAUUGUUUCCAAAUCUGACGCAGCAUGAGUCGCUGGAAAACCUCAUCCAAGCAUACCAUAUGGACCCAGCCCAGAUAAUGCAGCAGUCAUUUUGCUACCAUGGGUGGUAUAAAUGGUCUGUGUCUAUCUCAUGGGGCUACGCUGCGCAGAUAUACCCUUCAUUAUUGAUAGCUGGAGACUUGGAGAAACCAUUGCAGACGUUCCGGACAUGGCGGAGUUGGAGCAAUGGACCCUUUAUUUUCAAUACACGUCCUGUGAAUCCUGACCCUUGUGAACGCCCGGCUGUAUAUUACAUAGAGGGGAUAGGCGAAGAUGGCAACGGUGGGACUCUCACUAGUUACAGGAGGUCCAUUGCUGAGCCUGAGAAUUGUAGGGGAGGACACCAGGGCCAUGCAGUGGGUAUUGAGAGAGUUCUCGUCUCAGCAUUGAAAAUGGACCAAAAAGAAUGGAAGGUUCGUUCCAUAUUUUUCCCGUCGCUUAACCAUUUUAAUAUGCAUAUUAGCCGCCACUAAGACUCUGAAGGUAUGUCUUCGCACAAAGUAGGACACUGAUAAUUGAUUGAACCAAAAAGCCAGAAUCCCAGAAGUUGGAUAAAGUCUUGAACCAGACUUUGCUAGGCGUGGCAUUUCCUGUCUUGUUUCAUAACUUAAAAAAUGUUGAGCAUCACAAAUUAAUUGAAAGUUCCGGCCGCGCUAUUUUCCAAAAUGCUUUGGUGAUUAUUCUAUAUCCAGCAUUUUACUUGCAUAAAGUGUCCUAAUUGUUUUUACUUCUUGUGCAAUUGCUUUUGAGAGGUUGGCUAUACCUAUACGCAAGCAUUAGGCAAUUGAAGUAUGAGACGGCUGUCAAUUUUAAUUUGUAAAUAUUGAAAUUUGGUAGUGUUAUUCUUGCUUAUGCCUCUUCUAAAUUGCCUUUUAAACAGCUACGAGAGAGGUCAUCUCUUGAUCCAUGUUAUACGACCAAAAAAGUUGCUUCUUUUUGGUGAUUAUAUGUUUUUUGGAUGAUAUAUCUCGUGGUCUGUGAAUGCUUGUGCAGAGCCCCCGUAGGCGAUGCUGUGAAAUCAAAAGCUCCAAGGACGGCACUCUAAAGGUGUUGAUUAGAAGAUGUAAUCAACAAGAGUCCAUUACCCCCUGAGGUUUUGGUCAUAGAAUACCCUUUUCUUUGUUUUUUUCCCCUGUCGUAUCGUAGCUUUCAAUAGAUGUUUAUCUUGAAAGCAAUUUAUUGGUGCUGGGGAUCGUGUAAAGUUGGCUCUCUAAUAAUUAAAUAGCGUAGAAGAUUGAAACUUUUUGUUACUUUGUGGUAACUAUUCAACAGAGUAAAAUGCAAGGUCUAGCCAUCCUUUUGAUUGGAUGAAAAAAAAAUUCUCUCAUCACGGAAAAUCCAACAAUACGAAGAUUAUGGAAAGCGAUGCUAAUGAACCGAUCAAUUCUGUUCAUAGAAUGUACACGAGAAUAAGUUGACUCUUGAGCUCCGACUGAAGGAGAAACGAAGGGAAAGAUCAGAAGAGUUUUGAGCCUUCACUAUACAAAUCAAAAGUCUUAGAAAAUUCAUUCCUCUUUCAGGCGGUCGAAUAGAGAAUUUGCCACUCUUAUGGAUUCAUAAAGUCCUUGCGAAAAAAUCUUGCUGCAAAAAUGUCAAUGGUUGCUGGUAAUUCAUAAAGCCUUCACCCACGCCUCGCUCCUUGCACAAUCUUUUUGGGAUACGGUGCUAGUUGCAGAACAAUGUGUCUCUUGUUGCAUUACCGGUGGUUGGGUUCACUCUGAUGGUAAAAAGUCUUCAGACGAAGUGAAAAUACAUGAAAAAAAAUGUAUCAGGACUCACAGUAACCACAUUACCCGCCUGCAACCUUGCAAAGGUAUUCUCGUUGAUCAUCCCGGAGAGGAACAUCCGUAAAAUCUGCAAUUACAAAAUGCUCUAUAUCAGCAACUUUUUUUUUUGUUUUAAUUUAUCCCUCUCUCAAGAAACAUAUUACUAGCAUGCUUAUGAGUCACAAUUUGAAUAAUUUAGGCAGCAUUUACCCCUCUUUUUGGGUAAGUGAGAGGAUUUGAAUUUAAAAUCUCUUACUUUCAAUUCUUUCCACCUUUCCACCCAACCCAACUCUCCCCGAAUGCAGCAUUCCUAGGUUCCAUGGGGUUGAAAUCAUUUCCAAGACCCAGUAGCCGUCUCAAUACCAAAUGUGAAGGAAUAUCUAAUCAGUAUAAUCAAGUCCAUAUCGUGAUUAUAAGUCGUUUCUCGUUGUUUUGUCACAAAGAUCAAGAAACAAGUGAAUAGAAGAUCAUCGCAGACAGAAAAUAGGAAACAUGGGCCAAGUGAGGGCACCAAGCGUUUUUCUAUUCUCUGUACAUGUCACAGUUAGUUACUUGUUUGCUCCUGUUUUGAAUUCCCUGCAAAGUUAUAUCUAACUAUCCGACACCUGAAAUUUAUAACAGUAUGGUAAAUGAUGCAUCAUGGCAAUUGUAAGUAUAAAAUUAAAAGUUAGGUCUUCUUACCUGCGCCAGUUAUAAUUGACCCUCUGAAAGAUGUAUUCCCGGUAGCAAGUGCGCCUUCCAAGUUUGCAUUGCUCAAAUUUGCCUGCAGAAAGUGACAGUCACACCGGAGAUGGAAGUCAAUUACAAGGUAAAAAAAACUUAAGAAUCACAACUAGUACGUUACAGCUCCCAAGUGUAAUUAGUUAUGUAAGCUCCAAAUCCAGUUCAACAGCUAUAAAAGCAUGCUCAAAGGCUAUGUGGAUGGAAAGACAGCCAUAAUUUCUUGAACAGAAUCUAUUACAAUCAAACAUGCACUGAAAUCCAGAAUGUUGACGAUACCAUCAAACAGCAUCUGGACAUCUGAAAUAGUUAAAAGAACUUCCAACCAAACACAGCCAUUCCCUUGUUGGUCUUAAAUUCUUUUUAUGAGCACCAUCAUAUUUUGGCGAGUAAAGAGGUGGUAUCUUUUGUACCCAACUCUUCUCCAUGGACUAGAAUAAAUUAAGCUUCUAGUUUGACUGCAUGUUAGCUUGCUACUCAAUGUGGACUGGUCAGGUACUCAUACAUUCCCAUCUUGAUUUUUUUUUUUGGAAGCAUAAGGGCAUUGGCCACAGAAAACAUCCAAUUAUUCAGAAGAUGAACAUCCUAUAUUCCCCCAAGAAAAAAGCACCUCAACUGAAUAUGCAGUGUAGCACCUUGCUCGUUACAAACAUGGACUAAUGGCAAAUGAUGAAUAGACACAGUGAAUUUUUUUAUGGCAACAAAAUCAACACAACUCCAAAAGCAUGAAAUCUAUGUAUGACAUGAAGCAAAAUUCAUUACCUUGGUCACAUUUGCUAAAGAGAAGUCAGCUCCUCUAAGAUCAGCAUCAGAUAGAUCAGCACCUGAAUACAUAUAAAGCAGAAACCAAGAUUUUGUUUUGAAUAGACAAAAGCUUCACGAUCAGAAUGUCAGAUGAAGUAAUAUAGCAUGCUCUAUCUAAACCAGGGCUUUAGAUUUGUGUAGCUGCCAAAGUACAUUAGUAAAGCAGUUUUGCAUAAUCAUUUUGAUUUUCGAGUUAUUCCCUUCAGUGACCAUCACUGAGCUCCAUUUUUGGAACCUAAAUCUCACACGUUAGGUGCCAGUUUAGAAAUGAAAACUUAGAAUGGCAAUUGCUACACUAAUUGGUUUGUCCACAUCAAGAACAAAGUAAGUAGUUUGCCCUAGGUGCUUUUAGUUUACACUUUUCUUGUAAGUUACAAUUGUAGUCUUUUGCUGUAGUGGAAUCGGUGGCAGGCGGUUCAUCAUCAAGCAUUUCAGUAAUCGAAUUUACUAUCCCAGAUACUCCCUAUGUCUGCUACUUUAGAUAAAAAAUUCUGUGUUUCCAUACUAGAAAAGCAAAUGACAUUUCAGUAGAGGAUAUACCUGUUAAAUCAGCAUCAAAGAAGCUAGCUCCUACUAAUGCUGCGCCUUUGAAUUUGGUUUGCCUAAGUAUUGACUGUUCAACAGAAUUCACAUGACGCCACGCGACUUAUCCAGGAUUGAAUACCCCAACCAAAAAAAAAAAGAAAAGAAAAAAGGUAUGCAGCAUACUUAAUCUAAAUGCAUAGAGAAGUGGACGAGUUUCAAUUCCACGUACAGUUUUAAAAUCUUGCUUGACCAAACUCUUCCCACUAAAAUCUUUCCCAGAGAGAUCUUGUCCCCUGGUAACUUCUGCACCGUAAGGACCUCCACCCUUUUCUCCCCAGAUUAUGUAACCAAAAAAAAAAAAAAAAAUCAUUAAUCAUUCCAAAAAAAAAAACCCACAAUUUAGAAUCACAAUAAACGCUAAAAUAAUUGCGGGCUAAAUUGUAUUUUUGGUUACCUUGAAUGCUAAAGCAGGGUCGGAUGCAAAGAAGAGGGAAGCAGAGAGAAGGGCGAGAAAGCUUGCCCUGGAUAUUGAUUCUCCCAAGCAAAGCAGAGGAUUCUGAGGAGCUUGAGACUGAUGAUUCACGGGACGCUGUAAUGUGUGGAAAUAAAAUUGGCCAAGUUAAUCAAAUUGUAGUCUUGUGUACUUUUUGAGAUGAAUUCACCGGAAAAUGUAGCGUACCUGUGGCCUAGUGGCAGUGCAAUUGAAGGGAAGAGAAAGAGACGGGAAGCAAAAAUGCUGCUGACUGGGAAGCGGAUUGUCAAGUUUGGGCUUUGGAAGGAGUUUGGAAGACAAGCAGACGUUCACAACUGCCAUUGCUUCUGAUCCAGAAAUGGACUCACAUCACAUGUGGAUAAUCCCUGCGCGCUUAAUUUAUUUUGGUAUACUACUAAACUUUUCUUACUAUUUACUUGGUCAAUAAAUAUCGGAGUACUACCCUUUUUCUUCUUUUUUUUUUUUGCACCCAUAACAUUUUAAUAGUUGUCCAUAGUUACGUUAGUGGUUUUUUUUCCAGGCAAAAAACUUGUGCGCUAUUGUUUGUUUCGUUUCAUUUAAAAAAAAAAAAUUGACAUCAAAAUGCGUAGUUUUGUUUGCACAUUUACGCCAUUAGAGCGAAGAUUACAUCAGGCGGGAAAUCAAACCCACCAAACAACACGAUGAACCAGUGAAAGCGGUUUACAUUUGAUUACCGCCGAGCAUUUGCACUCAUCUAUACUUUACCCUUUUUUUCUUUUUUUGUCAAUACAAUAAAUCUUUUUAUUCUACUCCUACUUCUAUUCUAUAUUAAAGAGGAGAGAAUGGUUCCAAAUAGGCCAAGGGAAAAUCUAGAUCAAGGGAAUUGAUCCACUGGAUGAAACGAGUGCCUUUGCACUCAUUAGUGAAACAUCUAGAAAAUCCUGGAAAUGAAUGCAAGUCAAGGGACACUAAGGCUCUUCUUGAUCGUCAGCUACUCUAAAGGUAGUUAGUUAUAUUUUUCCUAAUCAAGGAACCAACUUUUUGUGUGACAUCUUAUUAGUUUACUAAUGCAUGCUACUGUAGCAUAAAAGGGUACUUUUUCUAAGCAUAAAUUUUAAGCCUCUAGAAUUCCGUAAUUAAAACCUAAGACCACUAGGAACUUCUAUGAUUCAAUGCUACUUAAGCCAUGUUUAGAGAUACAGAUGACUAGAGUUUGAAACUAAAUCACUUUAAAAAAAAACUAAAUUGCACGUAUAUACCCUAUCUGCACUUAUUAGGUGACAUGUUCUUUGUACAAAACUUCUAGAUACAAAAAAAGUUUGCUUAACACACUGAGAUAGCAACUCGAAAGUUUGUAUUCUUGCCAGAUGCUAGAUAAUCAUAUGCACACUACCUUUGCAUUGCCUUUCUAAAAAUUAGCACCCACUCGAGAAUAAGUUAUAGUUAUUAAAUUCGACACGACUUGGCGGUCAAACCUAUCAAUCCAAUGAAUCGGUAAUUGAAUCGGAUUGGAUUUCUAAUUAAAUCGAUUGAGCAUAAAUUGUUGACUAAUCAAUGAUUCGGCAGUUCAACAUCGAAACCCAGCGAAUCGGUAAUUGAAUCGGAUUGGAUUUCUAAUUAAAUCGAUUGAGCAUAAAUUGUUGACUAAUCAAUGAUUCGACAGUUCAACAUCGGAACCCAGCUGAUUUUGUCCACAAACUAGGUUUUGUGAAAAAAAUUUAAUUAGCUUUGCUAGGAUUCGAACUUUGAACUUUUGGUAUGUGUCAGAAUAUACUAACCACCAAGUCACUUUGUCAUACAUUAAUAGAGUAGUUUUUUUUUUAUAAUAUCCAAAUGUUUUGUCAAUUCUAUUUUUUUUAAAUAUAUCUAAAACAAUUUUACUUGAAAUCUUUUAAUAAAAACUAAUGACUCCCCAAACUCUAUAAAUUAUAAAAUGGAUUUCAAAAAUAACAUAUUACAUAAUUCAUUUUAAAGGCAAAAUUUAUUUUUAAUAAUUUUUUGCACUUUAAAUUUGUAAAAAAACUAGAUAAUUACACUAAACACAUAAAAGAUUUUACACUUGAAGUUUGAUGGAUUACUAAAUAAAUUUAUAUUUUAUUGACUCUUAUAUGAAUUAAUUAUUCUAUAGCAAAUUAAAUUAAAUGAGCAUUCGCAUAAAUUAAAUGAGCAUUCACCAUGACAUUGUUUAUUACAAUUUAUAUCAUAUAUCUUAUAUAAAAAAUUAUGAAAUAUAAUAUUUAAAUAUAUUAGUGACUUGUUGGUUGAAUCAGUGACUCGUUGACCUACCUUUUUGAUCGUGUUUCUUUCCGGACUGAUUUUAAUAACUAUAGAAUAAAUUCCUUAGAUUAGCACAUACUCGAGAAUAAGUAUUUUUUUAUAUAAUAAAUUUUAUUUUACACGUAUUCCUACUCCAUGUUAUGAGGAGAAAGAUCUAAAGAGGUUAGACUGAAGUAUUACCAACUCAGACGGUGCCUACUCGAGAAUAAGUAUCACAUAUCGUUUUUUUUUUUUUUUUUUUUUUUUUUUUUUUUUAUUCCCAUAACGAAACACGCAUAACUUCCACGUAUACGACAUCCUCCAGCUAAACGCCACCAACUUGGAUGCACCGUUUCCGAGUCCUUUACGAUAUAGACUACUGUCUAACAACCGCGUUGAAAUAACUAUGAAACAUCGGUUCUGUCUCGUCCAUGACUUGAUAAUUCUUUUCUUAAACCGGUAAUAAACAAAUGAUUACAGUCCUGUCAUUUGUCACCUGGCGGAUAAUAGCGGGGGCAUGUUUUAAUUUCGCGCUGGUUUAACAAUUUUCCUAUCAGUACAUUGAUGUCCUUUUUUUUAACCACUGCGGGGAACCAGGACUUAACUAGCAGAAGGUAUUUUUUUUAAAAAAUUUUGUCCUAAACUAAAAGAAAUUGCACUAUGUAUAAUUUUUAUUUUAUUUUUCAAUUUGAUGGCAUCAUAAGAAGCAUAAUUAGCUGAUAAUUAAGCAAAAAAGAAUUGAAUUUAUAUUUCUUAGCACUAACUAUGUAUACAUUAAUAGGUUCGAAUGCAUAACAAUUAAUCUCAAUUUAAAUUUUAUAUAUGUGACAUGCAUUCAAACUUAUUAUUAAUUUAGAAAAUAUUAAAAUAAAAUAGUUUACCAUAUGAAAAAAGUUAUGUUGAUCACAUUAGUCGUGAAUCAUAUCAACUUAUGUUCUCUAAUAAAGUCUUCAUCAUCUUAAAAAAUAAGUCCCUGCAAAAAUAAUACAACAAACAUUGACCGUGUAAUAUUAUUAAAUGUGAUAACGUAGUAUGUUUACUCCACAUAGUAUAACAAUGCCAAUGUGUCUUCUUCUUGGAGAUCAAGACUUACAAUCAAACUGUCUGAUGCAUUUAUAGAACUUCAAAAGCUAAAGAAACAAUUUCAGCGUUUAGAUAGAAUUAAAAUGUAAGCAUUAUAAAUAUUUUAAACUGUUGGAAUAACUUGUCGAAGCUCUAACUUGCUUCACUAUAUUAGUUUAUUUAGACGGAAUGACUUGAACAAUUACGUUGCUAGAGACUAUUUAGAUUAAAUGUAGUUACUGCUCUCUCGGCGACUAUCUUGUCUUCCCAAUAUCAACUCUCCAAUCCAAAAUUGCACGAUGCCCUAUUGGAAAUUUCAUUUCCAUUCACAUAAAACUUCUUGUGUCAUUCAAAAAUUGCAAGUGUACAAUUGUAUAAAUUGGAGAUAAAUAUGUUUUCUUGGAACGAUGGGAUGCUACUUGCAAAUGGCAUCUAAAAUAUACUAUGACGCAACUUUUAAUAAAAGAUACUUUCUUUAAUUUGUAAAUUGGCCUCUUUUACCUUUGAAUGAGUGUCGUCGUAAUCGCCUACCAAAAAACAAAAAAAAAAAAAAAAAGAUGUCGUAGUCUGCAAUUCCAAAAUAUACAUAUUACCUUUGAAAGUAAAAAUACAUCAACAAAACGUAGUGGGUGCUUCUCUUCCUACCAUAUCUUUUAUACUAGUUUAGAGAAAAAAUCCUUGCUUUUACAAAGAGGCAAGAUGGUUACCCCAAAUUAGGUGCUCGCGAAUAGCUCGGUCAAACGCUUGACCGAGUGCGAGUCGAGCUUGUUAAUAUAUCAAGCCGAGUUUGAGUAUUAAUUUGUCAAACUCGAUGGCUCGUCGAGCCUUGACGAGCACAAAUUAAUUAAUUAAAAAUUAUGUAUUUAGUUAUUACAAUUUUACUCUUUUAUGCUUGGAGUUGUCUAAAUUACCAAAAUGUUGGCUAUAACUUUAAAAUAUUUAUAGGCCAUAUAGUCAUUUCACAAGGAAAAAAAUAACUUGAGAGGUAAAAAACAAAAUUGGCUUUUCUUAAUUCCUUCUUCCUCCUCAAUUUAUGACUUCUACUUUCUAGUUUCUACAACAGUUUAUGGACAUUUCUUGUGACGAAUUACGAAUGUUCCAACUUGUUUCAAUUGCUAAUAGCCUGAUCUAAAUCAGGAAAUUGGGCUUGCAUCAAUCUAUUUUGCAUGAAGAGUUAUAUUCUACAAUUAUGGAAGUGGACAAGGAUCUCGAGCUCGAAUACUUGACUUCAGCUCGAUCAUACUCACAAGAAAAUCGAAUCGAUCUCGAGUUUUCGAGCAAUUUUUCGAUUUCGAGUCCGAACUCUAUUUCUACUAAUCGCUCGAGCUCGAGUAAUAUAUCUCUGCUGUCGAGUUGAGCUCGAGUAUAGCGAUACUCGUGCUCGAUUCGACUCGAUUACAGUCCUACUCCAGAUUCACAACAGCAAACAUUAUCUUGUUUAAUUAAGAAAAACUAUAAUGUGGUUCAUUCAUCAGAGAAGUGAUGAAUCGUAAUUGACGAUGGCCGGGAUUAUUGAAAUUGAGCUUUCGUUCAAGCAUUGAUUGUGAAACGAGGAGCCCUUGGCGUCGUAAAAUCCAAGCGUAGGAGAAGAAUGAAAGCAGGGGUACUAUUGAGUCAAGUCAAGUUGGAGUAAUACCAUACUCGAGUUCGAACUUGACGGGUAUGAGUGUUAGUUGAGUUUGAUAGAGUCAAGGGGUUUAAAUUUGAGCUCGAUUCGAGAAAGUUGCAAAAGUAUUUGAGCUUAACUCAAUAAGGUUCGCAAACAAUGACGAACUUUAUUGAGUUCAAACACUAAAUUUGAACAAUGUCAAGCUUGUAUUUGUUAUCUCAUGCAUAUGUGUAUUUAUUUAAUGCAAUUGUCAGUAUAAUUUGUUGAACUUUCGAGUACCUAUGUUUAAACUCAAAAUCGACUUGAUAGUACUUUUAAGUAGCUCGAUCUCGAGCAAAAUGAGCUCAAAUCGAGCCAUUGAUCAAGUAGUUUACGAGCUCGGGUCGAGCCACCCGAUCCUACAUCACCGAAAGCGCCGAGGGACUCGCAAGAGCAUAAACAUUAGGACGUGUCAAACACUAGUGUUUAGCAGCUGUGUUGGGGGUCUAAGGAAUCAGAAUAAAGCACGGUGCAGAUGUACGUCAGUUGCCAUGGGUUGCUCCUAAUCACGUUCUGUAUAUUAACGUCACAAAUUCCACGAAUAGAUUUGUUAAAAUUCACUCAGAAACAAUAAAUCACAACCACGAACUAAAACAAAAAAAAUUAAUCAAUUUGGAUCUUGUUGAGGCAUUACAACAAACAAGAGAAUAAUUAUUAAGUUUCCUAUCAAAAAAUGUAAUUAACACGUAGGAGACCUACAUAAAUAGUAAUUGAGUGUUAUAAUUCUAUCACUCCCUCCUCCUAUUUUGAUAGGUUUAGUUUUUUUUUUUCAUAUUAUUUAAAAAAAGCUAGUUAGUUUUGUUGGAAGAAUAAAUCUAGUUAACUAUCUUCCUAAAAUACCCUUAUAUCAAAUGGAGUAUGAUUAAUUAGUUUUAUAUUAAAUAAUUUAAGUUAUAAUAAAAAAUAAUCUAUAUUAAAUAAGAUAAGGGCAUUUGAGAGGUGUUAUAAAUUAACUAUAUUUUUCAGUUGAAAAAUAUACUAUAAUUUGAAAUCGAUGAAAAAGGAAAAUAAACGUAUCAAAAUGAGACUGGGAGUUUUAAAUUAUAUAAAUAAAUAAUAAUAAAAUGUAACUUAUUCAAAUAAUGCUACCAUUGAACAAAGAAGCGGUUGCCGAAAACCGUCUGUGAUGCCAGAUGAACGCGAGUAUCAGUAAAAACAUGCAGCAGUAAAAACUAAAAAGACGUAUACUGGCACUAAUACUACUGUAAGAAAAGAGCGGCAGGGAAGUGCGACUCGGCUACUAGCAUCCUACUCGGAGUUAAUAAUGCAGGCUAGGUGAAUGGGGCAGAGAGAGAGAGAGAGAGAGAUCAGAGAUGAGAUGUCGCACAAUUGCAGACUACUCCAUCCAUCCAUACAGAUUUGAUUCCAGAGAGAGCCUUGGCAUUAGAUACUUUUGUCGGGAGUCGGAAACAGUGACGUGUUUCCAUUACCAGCCCCUCGCUUCCCCGCCCCACCUUCUUCCUUUGCUCCUUUGCCCAUUGUCCGAAUUACCAUUUGCUUGCUUGGUUUCCCCCCUCAGGGCCUCGUGCGCACGUUACCCCACACUCACUUCCUGCAGUCCCCCCAUUUCUUGCAUUCUUUUUCUUUUUUCCAUUUCGAGAUAGAGAUGGAGAUAGGGAUUUGACCGAUUUGUCUCCAGCGAGAGUGCGAGCGUCUGUGGUGCGCUCGCGCGCGGUACUCCUGACUCCUGCCGCAGCCUUUUACCAAAUACCAAGAGGUGACUUAGGACCAUGGGUUUUAAGUCGCAACGGAUCUUCUGUCCCACACCCUAUGCCACUCUCUGUCUCAUUUUUUAUUAUAUUAUUAUUUUUCAUUCAUAAACAUCAUGUUUUAAUUCUUUUUUAUUUUUUAAGUACGCUGCUCUUCUCCCACUCUUCUCCAACCAAAGAAAACCCAAUCAUAUUAUGCCACCUGUCUCCCGGAAAGACUGACGUUGACGUGUCUGGUCAAACCUUCGUUCCGGUUUGAAAAUUCCUUCUAACCUCCAAAUUAUUUGGAUAAUAAUAUAUAAUAAUAACAGGAGCCCUUGCUUUAGAAAACAGAGGGGAAAGGAAGAAAGGAAGGGGGAUUUAAAUGUUUCUUGAACCUUUUUUGCUAAAGAAGAAAUGCAUUUAUUAUUUUUAUUUUUUGGUUCGAGAUGACUCCAAAUCCAACCAUUGGACUCUAAGCGCUCCUUAAGUGGCUGUGUCCUCCAAUCAAUUCAAUUCUACCUAAGUCCUUUUCCCAAAAAAAUAAAAUAAAAUAAAAAGGACCAAUAAGGUAAAAGACUAUCUGAGUGAUGAACUGGUGAAUUAUUUACUCUUCUUAGUGCUGGACUACAGUGUCAAGUUUUGUGAUAGGCUAGUGAGUUGUUAACUUUUUCGCGUUAGAUCAAAGGAACAUUUUUUUGUGGUUCGGUUGGAGUAAUGCAUAUGCACUCACUACCUAUCAAUUUUUGACAAUCAUAUAGUUUGUAUAUCAUUUCAUUUGUAAAUUUUUUUUUGCAUGCAUCAUGUAUAUUAAUUUUUAAAUAUUUUUUUUAUUUUUAAACACUUUUUUGUCUUAAAUAUAUCAUAUAAUAAAAAGUACUAUAGUGUUGUUUCAAAUAAUCUCCUUUCUCGCAUAUAGAAUUGAUGUCAUUUUCUAUUUUUCAUCUUAAUCUAGAUGUCGUGAAAAUAAUCUACUCGGAAAGAAGCUACAUAUCAUCACUCAAUCGAAAAGCAACCGUAUUUAAUGAAACUCGAUUGUUUAUUCACAAAUUUCCGGUGUUGUGUAUAGCUUUUCGACGCUCGUAAUUAAGAUUUUUUUUUUUUAGUAUUUAUUAGCAUUAAUUUUGACAUCAAAUGCUUUUAUCUCCUGUCCAAACACACUUAUUAUUAUCGUUGUGUGUGUUAAGUUAGAACGCUAUAACUUAAGUGCACUUUGUUAAAAUUAGAAGGUAAGAUUUAUGUCCUUAAUUAAAACUAAUACCCAUCAAUUAAAAAAAUAUUGAAAACAAGGUCAAACUUUAGAUGUCUUGUAUGUGUGUGUCUAUAUAUAUAUACACAUCGAGGUGAUCAUGAGGUUCCGAAGAGAAUAUAAAUUGCAAUCCACAUCCACAUUAUCUUUAUACAAUGCCAUCAAAUAAAUGGGAUAAUAUUGGAAACCUCAAUUGAGAUUUCUCUUAAUAUCAUUUAGUACUUUUAAAAUUUUAAAAAUAUCAUUUAUUUCUCUUACUUUUGUUACACUAAUAUUUAAAAACCCUAAACUACCCCAUUUACUUGCUAAAUAAAAAUAUUCCUAAACCACUUUGUUUAAUUCAAGAAAGCUAUCACUUAAAAAAUAAUCUCUAGUAGUACUACCACAUCACAAUGCUAUAACCCAUAAAAAUAUAAAUAUGAAAAAUAAAAAGAUAUUUGUAAAGAAGUAUACUUGUACUAAUUUAACUCUAUAUGCUCAAAAUCAAAUUCUUAUAAACAUUAUAUUUUUUCCAACUUCUUCUGAACCAAUGUCCAAACAUUUAAAUUGUACCAAUAAUUAUAAUAAUCAACUCAAAAUAAGCAAAUAAAUCAUAUCUUACUCUAUCACAAUCAUAAAAAUAAAAAAAAACAAAAUUCAAAUUAUUAUAAUUUAUCAAUAAUAUAUUGCAUAGUCAUCCAAAAAAUGAGUAGGAGAGAAUGUUGGAAAAAAAAAGAGAAAAGAAAGUGACUUUUAUUUAUGUUUUUAAUUUUGAGAUCUAUUUAUUGGAUAUGUGAAUUAUGUAUCAAAUAAGGGUUAAUAUAGACUUUUUACAAUUUCGAGAGUAGAUAAGUGAUGUUUUUAAAAUUUUAGGAGUGUCAAGUAAUAUUAGGAGAAACCUCAAAUGAGAUUUUUGAUAUUAUUUUGAAUUGUGGUUUUUCACAAUUUUUUUUUACAUUUUCUUUGUAAACACAAUAAAUUUUUUUAAUAAUUCGUAAACACAUUUUUUAAUCAACUUUUUACCUCACAUACAUUAAAUCUCUAUAUUAUAUUUUUUUCUAAAAAAACUCUUAAAAAUAAGAAUCCAAAAAUAACAUAACAAUUGAGUGAAAUCCCAAAUUUUCAACUGACAAAGUGGCCCUUAUUUGGAACCUUAGUUUUUAGGCAAGUUUGUAUAAUAUUAGUUUUUUAACAACUUUUACUACAGAAACCCCAAAAACUAAUCAAAGUUUUUAACCUACACACUUUAAAAUAUUCAAAAUACAAAAAAAAAAAAAGAAAAUUCCCUUCCUCUUUUCUUCUUCUUCCUUCCCCACCCCAACCCACCACCACCUCUGUCGCCAGCCACCACCUCCGCCGCUGGUUCCGGCGCCGAUUACCUCUUCCGGUGCCAUUCUUUUUUUUUUCCCCUUUCUUCCUCUUCCCCUCUUCCUCCAUUGCCAUCCUCCCCCUUUGCCCGAUUUUGAUCCUCUCUUUUUUUUUCUCCCUCUCCCUCUCCCCCACCAUUCUUCUCGGGCUCCAACCCGGCCCUACCAUAGCCCAACCUUAUCUUUUCCACCUUCAUAUUUCACAACAGGUAGGAGUCAAGUCAAGCCACGCCCCUUUUAGGUGCCGGUCUUCUUUUGCAGAGGCGGGCGAAGGAGGGAGUGGCGGGCAAGAGAGGGGGAGAGAAAAAAAGCAAAAAAAAAAAAAAAGAAAGAAAGUUGCUGCUUCUGCUGGCAGUUUGGGGAGAUGGAACGGGGGAAGGGAAAGGGGAAGAGAGAAGAAGCAGGAAGGGAGGAAGGAAAAGAAAAAAGAAAGAAAAAAAAAGAAAAAGAAAAAAAUAAAAGAAAAAGAAAAAAAAGUUUUUUCAUCUCAUAAAAAUUUUUUUAUAAUUUUUACAGCGAUCUACAGUAAAAUUUUAUACAAAUACUUAAAAAACUAACCUUCCAAACGGGACAGUGAUAAUUCGGUAAUAUUCCGGGGUGGUGCAAAUCUCUAUUUUACGGUCAAAGAGCCUGCGUUAGAACUGAGCGCAGGGAAUUGGAACUUGAGCCCUCGUCAAACUUGACGGUCCAACAAACCGUUUAUUGCGGAGGGGACAGCGAGAAAACCACUCACUGCAAAACCGCCAAAAAAGGGCGUGGUGCGGUGGGGUGGGGAUAGAGUAUUUAAGAUAGUAUUAGAGAGGAGGCCGGAAACGGGUAGUAUAUUGUACAACAGAGUGAUAUUUGUCAAGCUACUUAUACGAGUCCCAAUACGGUAUUCAGCCGCUUAACGCACCAGCGUCACUCUCUGCAAACACGUACAACCACGGGGCAGAACGGGAGCAAGGCAGCAGAAGAAGCUAACCCCCUCAAGCAUCAUCAGAUCAGAUAGACCGACCCAGAUAGACACCAAACCUUUACUAGUACUUCUAGUACUACCAGUACCACAUUAUUAGUCAUAACAGCUAAGGAAAGCUUAGGAAAGGGAAAGGUAACCUCAGUACCAAAAACCUAAGCCUAACGUACGUGCCAACUGAGGUGCUCCUAAUUCCUAAGACUCUUCCCUUCUUUCUUCCUUUCUUUCUCUCUUUCUGCUCUUCUUCAGAACAACUCAGAAUUCAGAAGCAAAAGUUGCUAGCACUCAGUACCAUGUACACACGCAAACACCAUAUACUACUGAUUAGUUCAGUACUUAUACUGUUAAUCUAUUCUAGGUGCGUGGUUUCUUUCAACUUUUUAAACUGUAGCUUAAUGCAAAGUGUUUGACACUUUCACAGUCUAUUGUUGAGCUGCCGGUGGAGGCAACAAAUUCCUCUUUUGUUUAGAUCUCCGCUUGCGUUCUUGAGUUUUUGGCAGCUGGGCUUUGUGGGUAUUUUGUGAGAAGCUACGGCAGAUCUGGGUUUUCCUAUUGGAAUUGAGAGUUGAGGUUAAGAUAUUGUUGGAUAGGGUUUAUCCUAGAAAGAGAAGCAAAGAAAGAGAGGUAUUGAGUGCGGGUGAGAACUGGGAAUUGAGGAAGAAGGCAAAAGAGUAUUGGGUAGCUGGUUUUGUGGUUGGUUGGGGCCGGGUGAUUUUCCGUUUUUGGGUACAAGAAGUUUGGUCCAACAUACGCUUUUGGAGUUUCUCUGUUGGAUUUAGGGGUGUAUUUAUUAGAUCUCGUAUUUGCACAUCCAAAAAAAAAAAAAGCAAGGCAAAGAAGAAACCAUUUGCUAUUUGCUAUUUUUCAUUUCCACUAGUAGACCGAUGUAACGGAUGCGGCCAAUCCAAAAAGCAAUUUUGGCUGUUUGUUUGUUAAUACAUUGUGGAAGAGAACAAGAAGGUCAAGCAAGUGUUAGCAGCUAGCUUAGCUCAGUUCCGUUUCUUGAUAAAGAAAAAAGCGUUAUCUUGGGCUCCGACCGCAUUCUUGACUAGUUAGAAAAUCUUUCUCCCUGAAGAACGAAGCAUGGCGAACAGGUGGUGGGCUGGAAACGUGGCUAUGAAUCCGUUAGUAUCACCAUCGACUCCAUCUCCUUCUCUUCACCUAAGAAACAGUGCUACUGCAGAAGAUGAGAAUGCUGCUGGGCUAAACAGGCUUGGACAGCAAAGGAGAGACCAAGACUUCUUGGAUAACACUACAACAACCACCACCACCACCACCAAUACCACUGCCACUAACAGCAGCGGAAGCAACAAUAACCCCAACCCUAACCCAACCUCCCAAAACCCUGAUGAAGAAGAUAGCCGGGAAAAUGAGCCCGAAGCUGAGGAAAAUCCCGGAGCACUUGAAAUCUCUGAGCCGGGUAGCGGCGGUGGAAGUUCUGGAAGGCGACCUAGAGGCAGACCACCCGGCUCGAAAAACAAGCCAAAGCCGCCCAUUGUGAUAACAAAAGAAAGUCCUAAUGCUCUCCGAAGUCAUGUGUUGGAAAUAAGCAGUGGGAAUGAUGUUGCUGAGUGCAUUGCUGCCUUUGCCCAACGGCGCCAUCGGGGCGUCUCGGUUUUGAGUGGAAGUGGUAUUGUGACGAAUGUGACUCUGCGGCAACCGGCUGCACCUGGUGGGGUGAUAACCCUUCACGGGAGAUUCGAGAUAUUGUCUUUAUCAGGUGCAUUCUUGCCUGCUCCUUCCCCUCCUGGAGCUACUGGUUUGACAGUGUACUUAGCGGGCGGUCAAGGGCAAGUUGUUGGUGGAACAGUUGUUGGUCCCUUGAUGGCAUCUGGGCCGGUAAUGGUUAUAGCUGCAACGUUUACAAAUGCAACUUAUGAGAGGUUACCUCUGGAGGAGGAACCAGCCGGUGAAGGGAUUCAAUUGCAGGCAGCAUCAGGAGUUAAUACUGGAACUAUCACUGGUGCUUCUUCAGCUUCUCAAUCUCAUGGUAUGGCUGAUCCUGCAUCCUCUAUGCCUUUAUUCAAUCUACCACCUAAUAUGCUUCCCAAUGGCCAAAUGGGUCACGAGGUCUUUUGGACUCCUCCUCCUCGCCCCCCACCAUCUUAUUAAGGUCAAAUGAAAAGUGGUAGAUGAACUAUACUUACUAGUCACUUGUUUGUUCUCGAGCUCUAGGUCUCGUAAACUUAGGAAGUAGUAGCAAGGUUAGUUUUUACUUGACCCUUUUGUAUUCCUUGUGAAUCGCAUUUUCCAAUUGGAUAUUUAGGUUGAUGGAUGCUUUUGUAUUUAAUGAAUGUAACUUUUGUUUUUAUAAGUUCCAUUCUCUUCUUUGAGCAAUAACUAUUUAAUUCAUCUUUUCCUUUAGUGAAUGGCUUAUUCAGGGGUUAGACAGGUGGUGGAGAUGCUGGCAUAGAAAUGUUGUCCAUGAAAUAUGGUAACGUAAGUAUGUUACUAAUCUUUCACAAGUACUUCGAAGAAGUACUACUCUUCUUUAAUUCGAAUCUUUUAAUAAAAACAAUGAUUUCUUCAAUAAAAUAGCUGGUGUAGUUGAAUGCUUGAUAACUUUAUUGUAACUUUACUGUGUUUGUCACCGUGUGUGUGUGUGUGAGAGAGAGAUGGUUUAGUUCAUCUGCAUUCUUCAUGAAUCUGUCAUUUCUCAACUCAAUUGGCUGGAAAAGGUGGUUCCUUUUAGGUUGCAUGCUUUAACAUAAUUGAGCUUAGGAUUGAUCUUAAUUUUAUUUUUUUUUUCUGCCAACUUGGUUCAGAAAUUUUGUUUGAUUUCAUCUCUACCGUCUCCAAAUUGAGCAUCACUAAAUGGGAAAAUUUUAGGACCUGUUAACUAUUCCAAGCAAUUAACUCAUGUUCAUGUACCAUGUUUAUCAAGGAUGAUAUUAAGAAACAAAUGUUGGAGUAUUGUGUUUGACAAUUUUCUUUGAUAUGUCAAAAACCUCAUAAACAAGUUUGUCUAGUUAGUGUGUGAGUUAAUUUGCCAGUGCUAUUGAGUGUGUUUGUGCACUCGUUUAGAAUGGGUGGUUUCUCAAUUACAAUCAAUUAGCCCUAUAAUUAUGUGCGUUUAUUACAUGAAAUAUGGUUGGCUACAAGUGUUCAUUAAUUGUGUGCAUGGGUUUCUCUUUUAAUUUUUUUGUUGUUGUGAGUGUUGGGGGGGGGUGUUGAGGGGGGAGUGGAGUAAAUUAGGUUAAAAUGUUCCUUUAUUUGUUCUCACACAGCAAACAAUCUAAUAGUGUAAUAGUUCUUAUACAUCAUCUUGCCAUUUCUUCUUUUUUCCAUUUUUAGGUAAGCAACCACAAUUGCAAUUCAGACGCUUUAUACACGUCCGUCUAGCUUUAACCUAGUGCAGAUUAUAUGUCUACUUGUUCUUGGUUUUCCAUUAACUUUCGAAAACAAAAACUUAGACCAUCAAAUGAUAAAAUUCCAUAUAAUACGAAUCCACUUUGGCAAAAGGGGUAAAAAAAAAAAAGGAGUUAAGCUUGGCUAAUUAGUAUUAGCAAUUAAAGUGUUGGGUGCAAAGAAUAGGAAACAUUUUGAUUUUGCUGCAGUAGUGGAAUAUGUCUAUGUAAUCCGCUUAGUAGUAGGAUCAAGGUUGUCUUCUCUUGCAUAAACUCAAAGUCUAUGCUUCCAUUGAGCUAGCAAUUGCUGACUUGAGGUUGAAAAUGAUUGUUGUAUGCUUGGUGCAAAAGAUGGGGAGGAGGACUUCUUUCCUAGUGUUCUUCCUAAUCAUAUGGUUCACCUAUGUUGAACUCAGUGCUGGCUUAUGGAUCUCAUAUAUCCUAAUGAAGCACCAACAUUCUUAAACCUGAAGCGUAACUUUCCCAAUGUUGUUAACAUUGACUCUCAACUUGAUAAAUACUUGCUUGACACCUAUAGUGCUAAGUGUCUAGUAUCUCUUGUCUAAUAAAUUUCAUAAUUCACCAUGUGAUUUAAUAUCACAAUGUACUCUUCUUUGUAUAGGGAGAAAAUCAUAACAUAUUCAACUAAAAUAUAACUCAUUUCAGAUAAAAGUCAAUUAUUCACGGACAUGAACUUUAGGUACUAUUUUUUUCUUGCAAAGUUUAUACAUCAAUGCUGCAGCAUACUUGUUGGCAUGAACAGACAGUUUUCUUUGUUUGUGUGUACUCUGUUGAAUAGGAGAUGCGUGAAGGAGGGCGUACUAUGCAGGUUGCACAUUACAUAUAUGUAUGUGUUUGAAUAUAUGUGCACGCACUCACCAGCAUAUGCAUGUCUUAGAGUACAUUCUGAGCAUGUUUAGUGUAUUAGCAAACCCCUUAUCCACAAAUACAUAAUUCUUGGACCCUUCUUUAUAUGUUUGUGUCUGGGCAGCAAAUAAGUUUGAAAGAGGUCACGUUCUUAGCAACAUUUCGUCCUAUCUAGGUUGCAAUAUAUCAUUGGUUGCUGUGUCCUCCUAUUUCAUUGAGUUUCCUCCCAUCUUAAUAGUGAUAGCAUGUGUUCAUUCUUGACGUCAUGACUACUAAUAGUGAUAGCAUGUGUUCAUUCUUGACGUCAUGACUACUGCUACAAACGAAUCAAGUUCACAAGGCGGCUCGGUUAAAGCGACUUGAGCUUAGUCAACAUUGAGUUCAAGUCAAAUUCGAGUCGACCAAGUCAUCGAACUCGAGCCAAGCAUAGAGAAACUUAGCUUGUCGACUCGUGAGCUGGCUCGAAUACACAUAUAUUAUUUUAAUAGUGAAAUUACAUGUAUAUCUUUAAUAUUUUAUUAUUUAUUAAGAAAAAUGAUUAUUUUAUUCAUUUUUAAAAAUAAUAAUUUUUUUUUUAUUUUUUAAAACUUGAGCAGGCUCGAACUUGAGCUUAACUAGACUUGAAUUUAAGGUCAAACUCGAGUUUUACAUUGAAAGGUCAUCAAUUUGAGUUCGAUCUUUGUAAAUUUGAGUCGAACUUGAUUCAAUUGGAUUAAAACUUGACUCAUUUACAACCCUAAUCAUGAUGCUUCUUUUCUAAUAAUACUUUAAAGGAGACAUAUAUAUAUUUUUGUCAAUACGAUAGAUUAUCCUACACUAGGGGGGAGGGGGAGGAUCUGAAGAGGUCUCAGGGUAAUCCGGAGGGGAGUGAACCACCAUUGGAUCAGACGGGUGCACUAUGCACCCGCCUGGAUUUUUUGAGCAAAGCCACUUUAAUGUGUCAAAUUGGUGGGAGACCCACCCCACCAAGUUUUAAUGCAUUAGUGGUAGUCAUUAGCCCAAAGGAGACAUAUUAUUCAAUUCACGUGAUUUAUGCCCGUACCAAGACCCCAAAAAGGAGAAAAGGAAAAAAAAAACUUGAUAGAGAGGAGUCACAACCAUCAUCUGUAUAGGUUCACAGAAAGUGUGGUAAUUACUAUCCAUGCCACAUAGAAGUAUAGACAGGGAAAUUUUUUAGCUAUGUAUAAAAUAUUUUUGUCUUAGCAGUUUUUUAUGUCCUCCAGCCCUCUAGUGUAGCAGAUAAAGUACCAAAGUGACCAGAUUUAGAUAUACGUUCUCUUAUGGCUUUAUGCAAACAAAGAACCAAUACUUCAGAUUACUUGGAAACUUUUGGCUUAUAAGGUGAGCAAAAUGGUGGCUCUUUACAAGUAAUCAGCGCUAAUGACACUUUACAAGUAAUCAGCCCUAGUUAAUGCUCUAGAAAACCUUUUGAAGGUUAAAAUUCCAGAAUUAUUUUUAUUUUUAUUUUUUAUUUUUUGUGUGUUUGUCUGGGGGUGGUCAAAUAUUGUGCCUUGUGCAAAUAAAUUUUGUGAUCAACUUGCAUGUUCUUUGAUUUGAUAUAGUCUAAAGUACAAAGCAAAGCUGCUUGGAGUUUGGAUCGGGAAACUUGUGUUUACAGCUUGUACGCAUGGAUGCUAUUCGGGGGCAUGGUAUUAAGAUUCCUCUGUUGGUAUUUAGCGGCAUAUAAAAACUAUCUAAUAGUUGGUUAUCCAUGUAAAUUUUCUUUAAGAAAGUGUAAGUUAUGCACUUUGUUGUAAGUUGAAAAGAUUGCUAGCUGAUCGAUUUUAUUCUUUGAUUCUCUUUAUUCAUCGAUGAUUCUCCUUAUUCCUCUAAAAUGACUGGGAACUUCUGAUUCUGAGUAUGUAUUACAUUUUGUCUAGAGUUAAUAAGAUGAGACUUGAAAGAAAAAGAGAAAGAAAAGGAAAAAGAGAAGAUUAAAGAGACAGCUUGUUUUCUCUUAGAAUGCAUGCUAGAUUCUCUUCAGCUUAUUGUUUACCUUAUCUUUUCCGCAGGAUUUACUUUGAGGGAAAACUCGAAUUGGCAUGAGCAUUCUAUCUUUGAAUUUCUCCUACUGUUUCAUCCAUAAUUUGUUUAGGCUGAACACUGAUUUUUCUGUGUCCGUGAAACUGUUGCUGCUGUGAACUUCUCAGAACGUCAUUAAAAUAUCUGAAUCAAUUAGCAGAACAUAAAAAUAUGAAGUGGGAUAUCAGCAGCAAGAUAGAUUUUUUAGUUAAUCUUGAUUGAGUUUCCUGUUUCAGAACUGCUGAGAACCGUGGUCUGCGACUCAAUUUUCCAGGCAAGCUUAGAUGUGUCUGUUGGAAUAUGCUUAUAUUCCUUUUUCCUAGUGUUAAAAGAAGAAAAUGUAUUCACACAUUUCAGGCUUAUAUACUUCAGGUGCUCUAUGACCUUUUCUUUUCUUCACGGGGUGUUGCAUGUUUUGUAGGGACAGUAAUUUGUAAGCUGCUAUAAAAUGAUUUUGCUUGUGCAUUGUAUCCAUAAGUUUUGUUAUUCAGUGUCACCAACUGCGUUGCAUCAUCAAGUCUAGGGUUUUCUUGAUCUAAUUCUUGUUGGUAAACAUUUCAUUUUCAUAAUCUCUAAUGGCCAUGAUUUCAAGAUGUUAGCUAGUGGUUAAAUGUCUGCAUGGACCCAUUAACAUGUUGUCAUAUGUGUGAUCUAACCAGUUUAGGAUCCAUGCUGGGUUGCAUGCUUGUAGAAUUCACACUUUCCCUUGUCGGAGGUUUAUGCUGCCGGACUGGAUCGGUUAACCCCUACUUUGACAAAUAUUUUAGAUCAUUUUUGUAGGUUGAACAACAUUGUAGGGCACAGCGUAUGAUUCCAUUCGGGGACCAGGCUCUUUGUCCGUGUGCGCUGGCUUAACAUGAAUUGCUAGCUCCGAAGACCGCACCAAAGAAAAGGAAAAUGGCGACAGUCAUCAUUUGCAGAUGCAAUUUCUCUGUGGCGUAAGCACCAAAGAUGUCGUAAUUAGUCGUGGAUAGUUUCUUGAAAGGGAGAGAUAGAAUGCCAAGACGCUAGAUGCGUGUUCUUGGUUUGGUACCUUUGUUUCUAGCCACGGUAGAUGAGAGGUGGUUGUGGAUUCUCUAUGUCCUCCGUCUUCUCUAUUCUGACCUAACAAUAGGUCAAAUGUUGAAUUAGGCUCAAUAUCCCUAUCUACCAUUUGAAAUCGGUGAUUGUAUUGGUGCAAAUUAGCUCAACUCCACGUCAGUUAUGAAGACUUUGUCAUCGGUGAUGGUCGGCUAUUGGCUAUUAUCUCCAGCAGCCAUUGCAGUGGCUCAAGAUAACGUUGCUGUCACCGUGGUUAUAGAACUAUGGUCAUGGGGAGCCAUUUGCGUGAUCGAAGAAGCCAUUUCAAUUAUUUGUCGCUGAAAAUCUCAACAGUUUUCCUUUCUUCCAAUUGCCAGGACAGAGCAGAGCGUAAGCAAGAUGAUUUGGUUAAAGGUCCUUAAACAUUUGUUUGGAUGGUAGAUUAUUUGUAAAAUUUUAUUUAUUUCAUCAUUAAUAUAUUUUGUGAUCACAUUUUUGUCUCAUGUAUAUCACAUUAAAAAAGUGUUAUUGUAUUUAUUUUUUUAAUAUAUUAUCCCAAAUAAUCUACCAUAAAGAAAUCGCCAACUUCCCUGGCCCCCCUCCCCUUUUUUUUUAAACAUAUAGUUGAAAUUUAUUGUUUGGUUUUAUAUCUAAUUUUAAACAUAUAGUUGAAAUUUAUUGUUUGGUUUUAUAUCUAAAAUAAAAUGGUCAAAAUUGUUAGCUUGGGAAAAGGCAAAAGGGUGGAUCGAGAUUAUAAAAAAUGAUGGAAUUAGGUAAAGGUAAAAAUCACCUUAGUUUUCUUGUCGAAAACAACUAAUCACUCCCUUUGCAACCUUUUGGGCUUCGGACAUCAAAAAAUGGUAAGCUAUGUAAUUGUCCUUCUUUCCCACCACUCCAUCACCAAAUUUUGGAAAUAUUUUUAGCAAGCAACCAUUCAUUGGACUUUGACCGAAAUCCUAACCCAAAAAUUUGGGACUAUACAAAGCAAACAACAGGGAUCUAAAGGCGUGUUCUUGACAACACAAUCUAUUCUACCCUUCUCCUUGCCCUCUUUUAUCACGAGUGCUUUAGAGUCCUUUGCCUUAAAUGCUACAGAUUUGACCAUAACUGGCCCCCAAUUGAGAAUUUAUUCACCAUCAAAAACUUGAAAGCAACAUUGAAGAGAAAUUUGCCAUGGAAUAUAGAUCUUUUCACAAGUAGAAAUCAAAAUCAUAAUAGGAUGAUGACAUAUCCAAAGGGGUGGUGUGAUCGUGUGUGGCAAAAUUUUGUGUACAAAGAUUCUAGAUUCUUGAAUUAUAUAAUUCAUGAGAGUUUCCAUAUAAAAUGCAUAUACGUUGAUGAUUGAGGUUCACCCGGGAGAGUCAUAGUAGGACUAUAGGCCGUACUGUUAGGCCCAAAAUUGUGUCGUGGUAGGAGGAGGGCUCUACUAUUUAAUUUAACGUGACAUGGGGCGUCAGUUUAAGGUGCUGCAAUACUCUGGCCAUAGGCAUUGCUCAUAUAUAGAUUGCGUAAAUUCCUGAAAGAGUGGCUCCGAUAAGUUCGAGUUGGAAGAAGAGAGCUGGGAAAUAGCAUCCUCCCAUCCAUUUCCCGGAGGGAACUGUACCAUCAUUUGGCUGUCAUCACAAGCUUUAACUUCUGUGUAUGUAAUUGGGUCCAGUUCCAUCUGUUGUUGAUUUAUGAAAUUCGCUAGAUUCAUGUACUGAUCACACCCAAAGGCUAUCUCAGGAUUUGAGUAGUCUGCGACAUUAUAGCUUUCACAGCUAGACGUGACAUCCACUGCUAGACUAGCCAUUUGAGUCUCAAUCAUUUCGAUCUCCUCUUUCAGGCAGGCCACCUGAAUGAUGUAAAAUCUUAUUAAUUUAGGUAUCCAUCCAUAAAGAGGUAUAAUCUAUUGGCCUCUAUUAAUCAGUACGAGUUAAAAAAUGAAUGUGCAUAAAAAGUACAACAACCUGCUGUUCGAGCGCAAAGAUGUGAGCAACACAACCAUAUAUGGGAUCCUGCAUUCUGGCCAGGGCUUCAUAGGAUAUGGUUAUAGCAGCUUCAGCGCGGUUUUGAACUGGAAGAUUUAGCAAUAACUUGGAGACGUUGCUAGCUCCAAACACCCUAUGCACUGCUUCAAAAUGACUAGCUGCUUGUUCGUAACCGAAAUAAGGAGCAAACACACAUUCUAUUGUGCACCUUCUUCUCAAGAACUUGCAUGCUCCACAAGAAGAGCCCAUUCCCGUCAUUGUCGUAAGCUUUUCUAUCUGUAUUUUUCUUUUUCUUUUUUCAGCUUUCAAAUGGUUUUGAUUAACUCGAUGCAGGGGUGAGCUGAAAGCUUUAUAAUCACAGCCCAAUAGGGUUAUACACGUUUGUUUGAUUAUGGCUAAGAGACAUUCCAGACUUUACCUGAAAAGUAAUUUCUUUUAGGUCUCCUUUGUGGGCAGCAUUUUCAUUCGCAAAAUGGGUAAACUUUCCUGAUCUGUGUCUUUAAUUAAAGUGGCUUAUCCAGUUAAUCUCGAAGAAUUUGACAGUGUGAUGCCAUAUUUAUAUGUUUAACCUCUGUAAGUGUGAAAUGAUUGCCAAUUAGUUGUCCUAAUUAAUACUAAUGUAUCUCAGACAAAGUACAAGAACCCCUUUAUUCUACAAUAAUGACUUGGUUCGACAAUGCUUGCUCGAAAGUAGAAAAAGGGUGGACAAGAUUUUGGAGUAUUAUGUCGUAGAAGACUAAUCAUGAACUAGGUGAAGAACUUUUCUCCAAUCUUUUCAUCCAUCCAGCUUGACAUAUCAUAUCUUCCCUCAUUCUUUUUCUUGAGAAUCCUUCUCAAAAUUUAGCUCGCUCAAGCGAAUCUGAUAUUCUGACAGUAUUAGUUUGUUAUCUUUUUUCUGGGCUCAAGUCUUUCAGCUUGUAUAUAUAUUUCAUAUGGCCUGCAUGAUUCAUUGAGGAAUCGUUUUAGACGCAUGUAGAUAUUUCUUUUUUCUGCAUCAUCAUGCAUAUAUAUAUAGUACUUUAAUUGCUAGUAAAUGGUUCCCUUGGUUGGCUGUUUGCCACUCAAGCGAUGUGUAUCAUGGGUCGGUGGUCAUUGGAAUGACGGCCACCUACUCAUCUACCAGCGCACCCAAAAGCCGCAAACAGCUUCGUCCAUUCCUCUCUUCUGUGGUGGAACACAGAGAGAAACAGCCAAACAGAAGAUAGUUGAAAGGAAAGAUUAAAGUCAUUUUCCUUGAGUUAUCAACACAUUAAAAAAAAAUAAAAUGUUUUUUUGAAGUCUUCUCAAGGGCAAAGUUUUCUUGGGUCUUUAAAUGGAAAGUUGGCAUAAAUGCACGAGUACUAAGAUGGAUGGAAGGAACAAAAGUAUAACAUGGGAUGGUGGAGAGGAGCCAUUUCCACUUUCGAGUUUAACGAUGUAAGUGUCUCUCCCUAUCAUGAGUUCAUCAUAUGCACAAUUCCGCAUGCUAUGGUAGGCUUGCUAGCCGCCCUUGUCCGUCUUCUAGACGCCUGCCUCUCAUUCUGUCUUUUGAGUCCAUUCUUGAACUAGUUGUCACAUUUGAAAAGCAGACCUGGCGACAUUAGCACUCUGAGAUCAUAAAAAUACAUUUAUAGCAAGUUCUUUUUCCCCUAAUAAAUACUGGAUGAGGGAACGAAUUAAAGCUGGACUGAUAGUUCCUUGACUCUAGCAGUGUAUUGCAGAACAAGAGAGCGUGUUCUCCCAGAAUACUGAUAAUCGUUUCUAUUCUACCCAUCAUAACAUAGCUUUAGCUUUAUCUGUUUCUGGCUUUCUGACUGAUUUUAAAGCAUUAAGUUUAAUGAAGUGGGAGGGAACCACAAGAGGAAAGAGACAUUUGUGUCAUUGUGUUAUUAUAUGCACAUAAAAACAAAGUUUUUUCUUUUUGGGUCGCGAAUUUUUAUUGGCACUCUCUAUACUAUUGAUUUUACGGCGCAUACACAGGUACUUCUACCCGUGAAUCUUAUCCAAUUGCCUGUCAGUGAAGCAUUAGGUAAAAUGAGAAAAAGCGGAAUGAGAUUAAAUUCAUGGGUUGGGUUAUUUUUGUCCGUGGCACUAACGAGAAAAAUACUGGAGGAAAAGCUUUUUUUUUUGUUUUUGUUUUUGGGGGGGGGGGGGGGUUUGGAGCAAACAUUGAUAGUCUCUCAGAGGAAAUGCAAUUUGGAGGAGGAAGAAGCACAAGAAAAAGCCAGUUUUAGGUCAGAUUCCUUUGUCACUUCGAAUUUCAUGAAUAAAUCAAACCAGCUGAUCACUUGAUUGUAUACUUCUUGUUUUGAUUACUUUCCAACAUUAACUGACAUUAAAUGAGUACAGUUUUCCCUGAUAGACUCCAUGGAGGGUGGAGGCACUAACCACCCUGUUACAGUAUUAGUGCCUGUUUGAUAACAUAAAAAAGUGCUGAAACUGAAUUCAUUUAUGGAUGUUUGAUAAAUAAAAAUUCACCUGCUGAACUUAUUAAGUGGUGCUGAAUUUGUAUGUAUUUUUUUCAGCACAAGAAUCGUAGCUGAAUGCUUAAUUUGAUAAGAAUCAAGAGAUUUACUUCAACUACUUUAUCUUAUCUACCAAAUAUAUCCCUGUUUGUUAAUUACUUUCAAAAUUCUUAUCUAAUUAAACAACCUAAUAUUCCCUAUUCAAAAUCCUUAUCUAAUUAAACAAAACAAUCUGAUAUUCUCUAUUUAAAAUUUUUUUAACAAUAGUAUUUUUUUGCAGUAAUUUUCAUCCACAAACAUUUAUAUUUUGAUAUAUAUAUUUUUUUUGUGCAGAUAAAUAUUAUUUAUGUGAUGUAGCUUAUCCACACACACGUGGCUUUAUGACACCAUAUCGAAAUAUUAGAUAUUGGUUGUCUGAUUUUCGAAAUGCUUCUCGUCCAAGAUCAAAAGGAGAACGCUUUAAUCAAGCACAUGCAAGAUUGAGAAAUGUAAUUGAACGUGCUUUUGGAGUAUUAAAAGUUCGUUUUCCCAUUCUCAAAACGAUGAAACCAUACCCUUUUUCCACACAAAGAAACAUUGUCAUUGUAUACAUUGCUCUUCACAAUUAUUGUCAUUUUCAUACUUAACAAUUUUAAGUUAAUUAAAUCAUAGGUUCUAUUUCCUUUUUGGAUUAAAAGAUAGAAGGGUAAAAUUGUACAAUUUAGCUUAUUAAGCAUUAAGUUAUGAAUAUUUAUCAAACAGUAUAAAUAGAUUCAGUAUUAAGAUUCAGACAUUCAUAUAUCUCUUUUCAGUGCUUAAAAUUCAGCAAAUUAAUUAUUUCAGUAUUCAGAAUUCAAAAUUCAGGUUCAGUGUUAUCAAACGGAGCCUUAAUUUUUGGUCUUAGCAAUGCACAAAGACACUCAAACUAGGGGUGUGUGCAGUUCGGAUACCCAUUCCAUCCAUCAUUUGACUGAUCCGACUCACAUCUUGCGGGUCAAUCAUUUUCUGACCUUUACUCAUCCUGCAUAUCAGUGGAUACCCAGUUAUAAAAUAGGAUCGGAUCAACGAAUACCCGUCCCGCCCCAUUUAUUAUUUAAUUUUUUAAAAAAAUAAUUUAUACUAAUUUAAUUUUAUAUUUUAUACAUUCAUCUAAGAUUUAAUAAAAAAAAAAUUUCUCCAAAAAAGUCUCCCAGCAAGGAACAAGCAUGCGAAGAGAAUAUAAGAUAAAGGAAAAAAAUUAAAAGAAUUCAAAAUCAAUAAAAGUUUGUAAUAAGUAGCACAUUUUUUAAAAUAUAUGUUCCACUUAAUUAAACUCUUUCCAAUAAAACAUAAGAUUAUGACCUCUACAAAUGAAUCUUGUAAAUAAACUAUAGUCUCUCAUAUUUGUGAUGCAAUUUGUUCAAUGAAAUUACUUAUUUAACUCUAAAUUAUUAUUUUAUAGUAUGUGUAUAAAAAUAAAUAAAUAUAUAUAUGUGCUGGGCGGGUCGGGUACCCCGCGAAUUUUUAAUUAUGUGACUCUAACUCGCCCCGCAUCUUAAUAGGUACCUGAUCAAAUAAUACAAAUCUGGUAUCCUAAUUUUCUAAUCAAAUUGGAUCGAAUAUGACGAGUUUUCAGAUCAGCAGAUAAUUUUGCCCACCCCUAACUCAAACAGUGCCAUGAAGUAAACAAUGCUAAAUAAGAGCUUCGAUAUAAUGAACGUUGGAAAGAAUAUACUAUCUCUUCCUUCCUUUUGGAUUUAAAGGGAAAUUAAAGGUCUUAAAAGGAGAAAAUGGCAAAAUAGAGGACUUAUUAGUCAAAUUAAGAACUUCACGUUUACCUAAUGAAUUGGAUUCGUAGCCUCACAAGUUUCAUUCUACUCCAUGGUGGGAUAAAUUAAAAUUUUCAAAAUUGUUACAUCAUUUUCCAACUUAAUUGCAUCACAUUUAAACUUUUGUCACACCAUUUUUCAACACAAUUACACCAAAAGACAAACUUGUAGAAAAUGGAACUUGGCAGAUCCCAUAUGCUAAUUAAUGUCCUUACCGGCUUCAAAAACCUAAGACAAGAAAGUGUUAAUUGGGUGUCGAAUACGCCUUGGUAAUACUGGCCAUUGGGCCAGGUCAAAUUUUGAUAUUUAGAGUCAAUGCAGCUCACAAAUUGGGCUGUAUUUAAGUUUGUUGGACCGAACCCAAACACAAAAUGGGUUGCAAUACGGUUUCCCACUUUCAAGCCUGAACCAAUUGAGUUGACUUUGCCACUGGGAAGUCUUUCCACUAAUAAAUUAAAUAAAAAAAAGGUUGCUAUUGGCAGCCAGAUUUUCUGAGAACGAUAACAAUUAUACAAUCUAUUCUAUCCUAAUCUAUAGGGGAGGGAGAGUCCAAGGAAACUUGUAUGUAAGGGCUAGUAGAUAUGCAGACCUGACUAAAUCAAAAGAGUGCUAUGGCACCGCUAUUAAAUUUUUUUUUUUUAUUGCAGGUGGGGUUUGAACUCCCACCUACAACUCAAGGAGGAAGUUAAAUCCCUUCCUAGUGGCCACUAAACUAUGCUCAGUGGUUUAUUGGCAGCGUGUUGAAUGAUAGUUUUUUUUUUUUGGGAAAAAAAAAACAAAAAGAAACUCUCCUUGUCCCGAUAAGUAAAUUACCCAUUAUUGACUCUUUUGAUCUACAUUAUUCGUUCCUAUCCAAACAAUGUCCUCUUAUUUGAAAAAAAUUUAUCAGAAACCCUCUGCGUCGUCUUAAAUUUUGUUUCAGCCAUCAAAUAAUAUGCUGUCCCGUUCAAGUUUAAGAAAGAAAACGAUGUGAUUAAGGCUCCAAGAACGGCACCCGUGUGGAGCACAUAGCUGACAAAUCCGGACAAAAUCAUUUGCUUCUACGAUUUCUAACCAGGAAAUUACAUUAUCAAGACAGAGCAAGAAUAAAAAAUAAAACAAAAAAAGGAAAUUGAAAAGUACCAUUUAGCCCUGACCAAGUUUUAGCACAUGGUACCGUUACCACCCUCUAUAUGCCACUAAAAUAAAGGGGAGAAUAUAAACAUAUAUAUUUCUGGAUAACAAAGGGGAAAAAGAUCAUGAAUCAAUAGCCAAUAAUUCUUCUUUUGUUCCUUCCGAGUAGUAUUCUUCGGUGCACAAGCGACGUACAUAUACAUAUAUAUAUAUAUACAUAUAUAUAUGUAUAUAUAUAUAUAUGUAUAUGUAUAUGUAUGUCUAUGACUGAAGAGAUAGCUUUGUGGCAAUCAAAUUACCAAAUUUUAAGUGGAGAGGAGCAAAGCUAAAGCGCUAACCUCAAGAUUCUAAGGAGGAUUUCAACAGGAAGCGUAGGCUUGCCACGUGGGGAGAAGGCAAUCUUGAGUGUGUGGCGGUUAAGAAUUCGAAAGCCAAUCCUUUGGACUUCAAUUUCUGUACACUCAAUUACGCCUAUAAGUUCCCCUCUCUCCUAUAUCCUCGCUGGUCAUAUCGUUAAUAAGCACCGGCUCCUCCACUCCCACCCUUCACUUUGCACUUUCAAAACCUUCCAUCUCUCACUCUCCUUCUCAGCCAGUGGGAUCACAAAUAACAAUGGCAGCCGCCGUCUCCUCAAUCGGAGCUGUCAACUUUGCCCCGGUACCUCAUCUUUUCCUUUUCUCUCUAAUACCUUUUGGGAUUUCAAAAUCAUCAAGUUAAGUACAUGUAUGGUUCGCUGUGUUUAUACCGGUUGAUUGCUUGAAAUUUGAUUAUUCUAACAUAAUAUAACUUAAUUAGUCUUCUAAGUACUUGCCUGAGUAAUACUCAUGUCUAACUUGAAUACCUUUUGUCCUGGAAAAUACUUUGGGGGGUUAAAGUAUCCACUCCAGUUCGUAUAACUAUCUACUCUUGAAGAUGGUACUGAUUUUAAGAAAGACAACGAUCAGAUUCCAUGCAUGUACUUCUAUUUAAACAAGCGUACUUGUCUCAGGACUAGUUGUGUGCUAAGACAGGAUUGGAACCAUUGAUGAUAAAAGUUAACAACUUAAAUGGGAUCAAGAUGAAGUGUUCUGGUUUUAGUUGAAGCAAGAGUAGCCAUCGAUUAGAGUUCUAGCUCAAUUGGAAUGAAGUCGCAUGUGACGCUGCUUUUUGUUUCUCGAUCUGCUUAACCUUCUACUGAUACGUGGUUUUGGUAGUAUUUUACUAGUGAUUGACAAGGUUUGGAUUUGGUUGAUAUGCGUACAGCUCAACCUGAAUGGCUCUGGAGCUGGAGCUGCGGUUCCUAGCUCAGCCUUCUUCGGCAGCAGCCUGAAGAAGGUGAACUCAUCCUACACAGCCCCAAAGGUUUCACCGGGAAACUUUAAAAUCGUGGCUACUGAGAUUGACGAGGGUAAGCAGACCGAGACGGACAGAUGGAAGGGCCUAGGCACUGAUACCUCUGAUGAUCAACAAGACAUCACCAGAGGAAAGGGUAUGGUUGAUUCUCUCUUCCAAGCCCCCUCGGGAACGGGAACCCACUAUGCUGUCCUCAGCUCUUACGAAUACCUCAGUCAGGGACUUCGCACGUAAGAGUACUAUUAAAACUAAUCCUCACUUACUAUGAGAUUGGAAUUCAAAGUAUUAACUCACUAAUCAUGCUGAGCUGCUGCCUGCUGCAGAUACAAUUUGGACAACACCAUGGACGGUUUGUACAUCGCUCCUGCCUUCAUGGACAAGCUCGUUGUUCACAUAACCAAGAACUACAUGUCCUUGCCUGGCAUCAAGGUAAAUGUACUUGAUAUCAUAUAGUAUUAAUGUGAAGCAUUAUGUAUGUAACCCGUACUCAUCAUAGUAAUGGCUAAUCGCACUAUCGCAGACUCCGAUAAGUGGAACUGUACUACUUUACGCAGCCACGUGUAAUAAAAAUAAAAUAUUUUCUAAAUAAACAAUUUUAACCUCCACACUAGUACGCAAAGGACAUUCGUAAUUAACUGGUGAGUAUCGAUUUUAUUAAAAUACCUCCUUCAGUACUGAACCAUCUUUUAACAAGAUCCAUCACCUAAGUAGUCUCUGUAAUUGCCGUGCCAUGGAAAGUUGAUAGUUUCCCCCUUAUUGUGUAAUAGGUCCCCCUCAUCCUGGGUGUCUGGGGAGGCAAAGGUCAAGGAAAAUCUUUCCAGUGUGAGCUCGUCUUUGCCAAGAUGGGAAUCAAGUGAGUUUUAUAUAGUUGUUCUUGUUUUCAUAGUUCAAGUUCUCCACAAGAAAAAUGUGGAGGUCGGUUCAUAGGUUGAGUACAAAAACACGAGUCUUGAGUUACUGGGGUUAAUUAUUGAUUGGGUUUUUCAGCCCUAUCAUGAUGAGUGCCGGAGAACUGGAAAGCGGAAAUGCAGGAGAGCCAGCCAAGCUUAUCAGGCAAAGAUACAGGGAAGCAGCUGACAUUAUCAGGAAGGGAAAAAUGUGCUGUCUCUUCAUCAACGAUCUUGAUGCCGGUGCUGGUCGUCUCGGUGGAACUACACAAUACACUGUUAACAACCAGAUGGUUAACGCCACCCUCAUGAACAUUGCUGAUAACCCCACCUGUGUCCAACUCCCCGGUAUGUACAACAAAGAAGAGAACCCCCGUGUGCCCAUCAUUGUCACCGGUAAUGAUUUCUCCACCUUGUAUGCUCCCCUUAUCCGUGAUGGUCGUAUGGAGAAAUUCUACUGGGCACCAACCCGCGACGAUCGUAUUGGUGUCUGCACCGGUAUUUUCCGAGCUGACAAUGUUCCUCAUGAAGAUAUUGUCAAACUUGUCGACACUUUCCCUGGUCAAUCCAUUGGUGAGUUGGGAACUGGAUAUACAUUAAUUAAACUAGGUAGGGCUGGCAUCUUAAUCUCAUUUUCGGUUUGAAAACUGAUAUUGGACGACUGUCGUGCAGAUUUCUUUGGUGCAUUGAGGGCAAGAGUGUACGAUGAUGAAGUGAGGAAGUGGGUUUCCGGUGUUGGAGUGGACAAAGUUGGGAAAAAGCUCGUGAACUCAAGGGAAGGCCCUCCACAGUUCGAGAAGCCUGCCAUGACCUUGGAGAAACUCCUCGAGUACGGCAACAUGCUCGUCCAAGAGCAGGAGAACGUGAAGAGGGUCCAAUUGGCUGACAAGUACUUGAACGAGGCCGCUCUUGGUGAUGCCAACGAGGAUGCUCUUAAGAGUGGAAGUUUCUACGGUUAGCUUUCUUGAUCCUAGCUACAGGCCUUGAUAGGAGGUUUGCUUCUUUUUCUUUAUGCAAAAGGUGAUGAUCAUGUGCAAUUGGAAAACGUAGUAGGAGAAAUUUCUCUCCUAAACAUUGGUUUCCUGUUUUUUGUUUCCCCCUUCUUCUACUCAGGCAAAGCAGCUCAGCAAGUGGGUGUUCCAGUUCCUGAAGGAUGCACUGACCCUAAUGCUAACAACUUUGAUCCCACUGCAAGGAGUGAUGAUGGAAGCUGCUUAUAUACUCUCUAGGCCUUUCGGGGGAAGCAACCAAUUAAUCGACGCAGGAGUAAUUUAUAAGCGCGCAAAGGAGUCAAAAAUAAAUCGUUGUCGCCUCUGUUUCUUUAUGGAUUACCGUCCUGUAAUUUUGUGUCAAAGUAUGUUAUACACUCGUCUCAUCCUCGAAUUCGGAUUUUUGUGUAUUUCUCUCUCUCUUAUUCAAGACUUUUUUUUUUUUUGGGGGGGGAAGCUUAAUGAGGAGGUUUCGUUCAUGUUAAAUCUGCAAGAACUGCAACCAGACCUUUCUCCCCGGUUCCCAGUCAAGACUUAAUCUAAUGUUUGUGUCUGAUUUAUUAAGCAAGAAAGUUCGUCUCCACUCAUGUAUUGCGUUCUUCAGCAUUUUGUUUUCGCUGCUUGUGAAUAAUGAUGAAGAGGGACAGAGUAAAUUUAAGAUUAAAAUUGAUCCGUCAGAGAAUAUCUCGCGGAGAAGGUAGUGUUUUUUUUGAAGGAUGCGGAGAAAGAGUUCAAAACCGGUGCUCCGAAUGUAAGUUCGAAAAUUUCAAUUACUAUUUUGAUAUUUUGAUGAGCUGGCUACUCUAACCUUCUGUCAAAUGAAUACUUCAUCGUUUUGUCAUGUGGCCAAAUUUAAUUUUCUAUUCGAACCAUUAUUAAGUACUUUAGUUUUGGUAGCAAUCAAUUCUAUGUUUGAUUUUUCACCCAAUUAUACUCUUCUCUUUUUUCACUUCUGUAACUAUAGGAACUUUUAAUCAAUCAUUUACUUUUUUUUUUAUUUUAUAUGCGUUUGUAUUAAUUAUGCCUUUCUAAACUUUUUUGUCAGUCACUUCAUAGUAGUAUCUCAAUUUUUUUUUAUUCUUUACCAAUCACCUUUUCUAUUCUUAUUAUUUGGUCUGAUUAGAUAUUAUAAUUACUAAAAUUGAAUAAUUUGAACUCUUUCUAAAAUUCGAUCUCAGUUCCCUAUCUUUUCGCUACGUGCCAAAUUUAAUGUUUUAUUUGAGUAGCUUUUUGAGUAUUUUAUUUUUGGUAACAAUCAAUUCUAUUUUUAUUUUUUCAUGCACUUAUCCUUUUUUUCUUUUUUACUUCCUUAACUAUAGCAACUUUCAAAACUUUAUAGUAUUUUGCUUUUUGACAACAAUCAAAUCUAUCUUUAUUUUUUCACAUGCUUAUUCUCUUUUCCUUUUUUUUUUUUUUUUACUUUCUUAACUAUUGCAAUUCUCAAUCAAUCUUUUAAUUUCAAGCAUCUCAUAAUUUUCUUUUUUUUAAAUAUUUUUUGAUCACAUUUUUUUCCCUUGUUAUUUGGUUUGGUUAUAUAUUACUAAUAGUUUCUUUAUUUUGCAUUUAGCAACACAAUUAAUAUCGCAACAUCAAUUUUGAAAGUCCAAAUGUUUAUUUAAGUAGAUAGAGUAUUUUUUGAUUAACUAUUCAAAUAUAGUUUGAGAAUGAAAAAAGGAUAUAGUAUAUGUACGUGAAACUUAAAAUGAACCAAAUUCUAAACAAGAAUAGAGUUAGGUAAGAAUACUGAACAAAAUAUUGUAACAAUCAACAUAAAGUUAAGGUUAUCAAUCAAACUAAUAGUGAGCAAAUUGUAUCAAAAUUCAAUCUAAAAUUAAUUUAGGAACUAAUAUAGUCUAUUAGACCCGUGCAUAUUUUGGGGCAAUAUUUUUAGUAAGAAGGAAAGAAAUAUCAUAAUGUGUUCAAUAAUAUUUCAUUAUUUUCCCAUGAAAAGAUAAUAAAAUAAAAGAUUAAAAGAAAGAGAGAAAAAAAAGCUGUAUAUUGUUUUCAUUAAUUGAAAAUGUAAAGUUCAAAAAUAAAAUUAUUACUUUCAUUACAUAACUAUGGAAUUUUAUGAACCUCUCAUGGUUGAACAUCCAAAGCCAUGACUUUGUAUUCCUUAGUUUUCUUGGGGAUGAACCUCCCCUACUUUCAACUAAUGGAGAGAAAUUAACCAAAUUUGUCAUAAAUGUACUUCAAUGUCUCCAAAAUGCCCUCAUAAUGACAUAAGCAGAUUUUUUCCCAAAAAAAAAAAAAAAAGAUUACAAUUGUGAAAAUUUGAUGACACUUAAUUCCAUGUGUAGCCAUAAAAUUUGCUAGCCAUCCAAUGAAGACCGGAAGACCCCUAACUUUUACAUAAAAUCAAAGGCGAGAUAAGUGUAAUGUACCCAUUUUAUUAAAUAUCAGCGAUUGGUUAACACGUUUCUAUUAUUCCUUUAUCUUUCAGGCCAGUGGGGUCAUUCCCAAAGUGCAGUGUCCAGUUUUUUGCAGCUUUAGCCAGGCAGAGCAAAAACUGGGUAGAUCACUCAGAGAAAUUUUCCUAUAUUUGGCAAAAGCAGACCGAACUUAGAAAGGCCUCAAAUUGAGAGUAAGAUUUAAGAUUAGGGAGAAUAUUGAUGUGGAUGCAAGAAAACAAUGAGCAUUCUUUGAUUAGGCACCUUGAAAUCGUGGAUAAAACUAGAGAAAGUAUGCAACGCAGAAAAGUAGCAAGAAUCAAAAGCACAGUGGAAUUGCAAAAUUGGAGGGGGAAGCAAAUUAAACUUCAUCUUGCAUGCGCGAUGAUAUUUGUUGAUUGUUUGGAUCAAAAGCACAAUGGGAAGGUUUAAAAUCAAUCAAUGUAGAGAAAAAUGUGACCGGUCGAGCAUGGCGCAGCGCAUGCAGCUGGGGAAUUAAUGCUUCCUGAACACGAUGUUUAUAGUGAAAACAAUUUGGUAAAUGGUUAGGCAAACUCAAAGUUGUCGUGCAGGUGUUAUCUGUGUCCAGAUUCCUGGGUUCUGCAUGUCUUAUUCAAACUGCCUAGUCCAAAAAAUUUCCAGCUUAGUACCUUGCACGUUGCCUGUUUAAGUUAGCACUUAUCCAUUGUUCCUUUCUAACUUUGCUCAACGCACGAAACUUAACCUUAGAAAUAAGGGUAAUAUCAGAAAGGUUUCUCUUAAUAUCACUUGGCACCUAUAAGGUUUCAAAAAUAUCACUUACUUUCUUUACUUUUGUUAUUUGUGUAACAAAAUUUUUAAAAACCUUGAACUACCCUUUCACUUGCUAAAUAAAAAUAUUCCUAAAUCACAUUGUUCACUUCAAGAAAACCAUCACCUCAAAAACAAUCUCUCGUAGUACUAUCACAUUACAAUACUAUACCUCAUAAAAAUAUAAAUUUGAAAAAUAAAAAAAGAAAUUUGAAAAGAAAUUAGUUGCAUCAAUUUAAUUUUAUAUGUUCAAAAUCGAUUCCUAUGAAUUUAUAUUUUUUUUCUAAUAACUUCUCAACCCUUAUUCAAACCAUUAAACUGUACCAAUCAUUAUAAAAAUCAACUCAAAAUAAGCAAAUAAGUCAUACCCCACUUUAUCACAAUCAUAAAAAGUAAAAAAUAAACAAAUUUUAAUUUGUUAUAAUUUACAAAUAAAAUAUUGCAUAGUAAUCCAAAAAAUAUGAGUUGGAGAAAAUGAUGAGAAAAAGGAAAAAAAAAAGAAGAAAAUGACUUUCUUUUUUUUUUUUUAAUUUUUGAGCUCUAUUUAUUUGAUAUAUUAUGAAUUAUGUGUCAAGUGAAGGUUAAUAUAGUCUUUUUACAAUUGUGUGAUAUUUCUAAAAUCUCAAGGUGCUAAGUGACAUUAAGAGAAAUCUCAAGAGAGGUUUCUGAUAUUGUCCCUAGAAAUAAUAAAAAAGCUUCUCACUUUUUUUUUUUUAAUAAGGGAACUCAUAAUCGCUAUCUAAGAGUGUGCACAGGAUAAAUCCAGUUUCAUAUAAUAAUCCGUCAAUCACACGGAGGGAUAAAACACACUAGACAAAUCUUGUGUGGCGGAUAGAUGUUCCAAAAGAGGUUUAAACCUUAAUUGGUAGAAAUAUAUAACGCCAACUCUAUCAUGUCGGCUAACUCAAGAAACAAAAAGCCUCUCACAUUGUUUUGCCUUCACGACGAAACACGUGUCAAGCGUCAAGAUUCUUUCCAAAUUAGAUUUUAACACAAUUUGGGCUUUUUCCCAACCUUGAAUACGAUAGUUCCUGUUAUUUUUUAUUCUACAAUUUGAGAAAGAAUGGUCGAAAAGAAAUUCAAACUGGUUAUGAACAACAUUACAAUAUUUAAACCUGUGUAAAUGAUAUAGCAUAUCUAACUUCUGCCUUUGAAAUGCCAAGAAAGUCGGCCAAAGUAAAGAAGUUUUGUUUAUCCAAAGCAAGCAUUAAUGUUCAUCUCAUCAGCAUCCGGCAACCGCAAAGCUGAAGACGUCAAAUGCGCGCACUUCAAUGGACUGAGACUUUUGUUUUUGGUCGAGCACAGAAGUGAAAUUGCGGAUAAAACUGAAGCUGUUGCUCAAGCCGAAUAAUAUACUAUAUAAUUACACAAAAAAUGGUUUUUAUGGACGUGUUUUCAUUUACUCAUCAAAAGGGAGGAAGAAGGUUAGGGGAUAGAUAAAAAGCUACAUACAGGAUGGCUAUACCAUUAUUUCAAAAAAUUUUGGAUAAUAACUCUCUUCUGGUUUUCGAAUUAUCGUUUGAAAUUGGAAAACAAUGGCAGAAUCCGAUCCAAUAGUUAACCGGUUGAUACUUUGUAGCGCUGUUUUAUAAUUGGUUUUAUUUUAAUUUCAAAAGAAGUGCAAAGCAAAGGGAAAAAGUUACAAUUGGUUUUAUUUUAAUUUCAAAAAAAAUGCAAAGCAAGUUGUGUGGAUAUUAUAUAAUAACGAUAGCAUUUCUUUAAUCUAAUCUGAUAAAAUUAAAAAUUUUAUAGAAAAAAAUCACUAAAAAUAAUCGUAUAUCCCGUAAGAAUUGAUUCGAACACUUCUGUAUAAAAAAUAAAAAUCAUAUAAGAUAACAAUUUGAUAGGAGCCCAGAGUUGAACCUUUGUCCUAGCAAGUUUUUGGCAGCGACCAAUAGGAGAAAGGGCUGGUGGUUGUGAACUUUUUGUAGUCAGCUUAAGAAAGUUGUGUUGAAAUUGGGUAGUCAAUUCAACUUUUUGACUGACGAGGUCAUCAUUUAUAUUAGCACUAUGAAUUAGUGUAUUCGAACUCUUACUUUCGUUCUUAGCACUAUCAUUUACUACAUUCGAAUUCUUACUUUUAUUCCUAAACUUGAAAAGAAACACUUCGAAAAAAA